rnacentral:lncRNA from 1 species
UAAAUCUCAUAGGAGUUAGCAAGAAGAAGCUAUCCCACUUUCAAAUCAGGUGAUUCCAGUUUCCCAGUUUGGGAAUAGCACAGCUUCAUCAUCUUUCCAAUCAAACCAGGAUGAAUCACUUUGUGAGAAGCUUGAUUUGGAUACAUAAAAUGGUCUAGAAUCACCAGGAAGUUGAAUAAAUCUCAUAGGAGUUGGCAAGAAGAAGUUAUCCCACAUUCAAAUCAUAUGAUUACAGUUUCCCAGUUUGGGAACAGCACAGCUUCAUCGUCGUUCCACUCAAACCAGGAUGAAUCACUUUGUGAGAAGCUUGAUUUGGAUACAUAAAGUGGUGGAGAAUCACCAGGAAGUUGAAUAAAUCUCAUAGGAGUUGGGAUGAAGGAGUUAUCCCACUUUCAAAUCAGGUGAUUCCAGUUUCCCAGUUUGGGAAUAGCACAG